GACGAACGCUGGCGGCGUGCUUAACACAUGCAAGUCGUACGGUAAGGCCCUUUCGGGGGUACACGAGUGGCGAACGGGUGAGUAACACGUGAGUAACCUGCCCACAACUUUGGGAUAACGCUAGGAAACUGGUGCUAAUACUGGAUAUGUGCUCCUGCUGCAUGGUGGGGGUUGGAAAGCUCCGGCGGUUGUGGAUGGACUCGCGGCCUAUCAGCUUGUUGGUGGGGUAGUGGCCUACCAAGGCGGCGACGGGUAGCCGGCCUGAGAGGGUGACCGGCCACAUUGGGACUGAGAUACGGCCCAGACUCCUACGGGAGGCAGCAGUGGGGAAUAUUGCACAAUGGGCGCAAGCCUGAUGCAGCAACGCCGCGUGCGGGAUGACGGCCUUCGGGUUGUAAACCGCUUUCAGCAGGAACGAAGCUUUUUGUGACGGUACCUGCAGAAGAAGCACCGGCUAACUACGUG
rnacentral:rRNA from 1 species